UGCGGACGGGCGGGCGCCCGGUCGGGUCUCAUAAGCCUGAAGGCCGGGUUCGACUCCCGGGUCCGCAAC
rnacentral:tRNA from 1 species